rnacentral:snoRNA from 1 species
UAAUAUGAUGAUACUACAAAAACAAAGCUGGAAUUACCCACUGAACAAACCUUGUAGAUAAGUUUUUGCAUUUUAACUGAUU